CCACAUCAUGUUGGAACACCGGGUCCCUUACAAUCACUGAAGUUAAGCAACAUUGAGCCCGAUCAGUAUCUAGAUGAGUGACCAUUUGGGAAUACCAGGUGCUGUAAG